rnacentral:rRNA from 1 species
UACGUAGGGUGCAAGCGUUGUCCGGAAUUAUUGGGCGUAAAGAGCUCGUAGGCGGUUUGUCGCGUCUGCUGUGAAAACUCGGGGCUUAACCCCGGGCCUGCAGUGGGUACGGGCAGACUAGAGUGCGGUAGGGGAGACUGGAAUUCCUGGUGUAGCGGUGAAAUGCGCAGAUAUCAGGAGGAACACCGGUGGCGAAGGCGGGUCUCUGGGCCGUAACUGACGCUGAGGAGUGAAAGCGUGGGGAGCGAACAGG